UACGUAGGGGGCAAGCGUUGUCCGGAUUUAUUGGGCGUAAAGAGCGUGUAGGCGGCUUGGUAGGUCCGCUGUGAAAACUCGAGGCUCAACCUCGAGAUGUCGGCGGAAACCACUUGGCUAGAGUCCGGAAGAGGAGAGUGGAAUUCCCGGUGUAGCGGUGAAAUGCGCAGAUAUCGGGAAGAACACCUACUGGCGAAGGCAGCUCUCUGGGACGGUACUGACGCUGAGACGCGAAAGCGUGGGGAGCGAACAGG
rnacentral:rRNA from 1 species